rnacentral:rRNA from 1 species
ACGGAGGAUGCAAGCGUUAUCCGGAAUGAUUGGGCGUAAAGCGUCCGCAGGUGGCAGUUCAAGUCUGCUGUCAAAGACCGGGGCUCAACUUCGGAAAGGCAGUGGAAACUGAACAGCUAGAGUAUGGUAGGGGCAAAGGGAAUUCCUGGUGUAGCGGUGAAAUGCGUAGAGAUCAGGAAGAACAUCGGUGGCGAAGGCGCUUUGCUGGACCAUAACUGACACUCAGGGACGAAAGCUAGGGGAGCGAAUGGGAUUAGAUACCCCAGUAGUCCUAGCCGUAAACGAUGGAUACUAGGUGUUGUCUGUAUCGACCCGGACAGUGCCGUAGCUAACGCGUUAAGUAUCCCGCCUGGGAAGUAUGCUCGCAAGAGUG